GCUAUACGAGCGGCCGAUGUCUGAUUAGCUAGUUGGUGAGGUAAAGGCUCACCAAGGCGACGAUCAGUAGCGGGUCUGAGAGGAUGAUCCGCCACACUGGGACUGAGACACGGCCCAGACUCCUACGGGAGGCAGCAGUGGGGAAUUUUGGACAAUGGGCGCAAGCCUGAUCCAGCCAUGCCGCGUGUCUGAAGAAGGCCUUCGGGUUGUAAAGGACUUUUGUCAGGGAGCAAAACUUACUGGUUAAUACCUGGUGAGGUUGAGAGUACCUGAAGAAUAAGCACCGGCUAACUACGUGCCAGCAGCCGCGGUAAUACGUAGGGUGCAAGCGUUAAUCGGAAUUACUGGGCGUAAAGCGUGCGCAGGCGGACUUUUAAGCCAGAUGUGAAAGCCCCGAGCUUAACUUGGGAAUUGCGUUUGGAACUGGGAGUCUAGAGUCUGUCAGAGGGGGAUGGAAUUCCACGUGUAGCAGUGAAAUGCGUAGAGAUGUGGAGGAACACCGAUGGCGAAG
rnacentral:rRNA from 1 species